rnacentral:lncRNA from 1 species
AAUAAUUCUCCAGUAAUUGAAGUAUUGAUCACAAAAAUAGUAGUUUUAGUUCAGUGGAGCGAUUGAUUGCUAUUAUUCAACCGGAAUCACUAUUGUAAAAAGCCAUAUUCAAACAUCUUCAUGGGCUGUAUCCACAGGCAUAGUGCUUGAGAUUACCAAAUGGAGUGGCAUAUAAAGAUGAUCACAUAGAAAGAUACAUCUAUCAACUACCAAUUUUACUUUUUUAUGGGUGGUAUCUCAUUGAUUGUUAACCCUCCAUUGGAUUUAAGAUGAACAGGUACCGAGGGACCUCUGAUGUGAACUGUGGAUGUGGGGAUGUAUGUGGAUUAUCCUCAUGGAUCUAAUCUUGUUCAUUUGCCUGUAGAUCUGAGAGCAAUGUUUAAAUGCAGCUUCAUAUUUAUU